rnacentral:tmRNA from 5 species
GGGGGUGAAAGGUCUCGACUUAGGUGGGCGAGUAAUGGUGGCAUGCCGCGGAAGCAAUGACGGCCGCGAUAACAAUCAUUGCACAAUACAAAUGCUGAUAAACCAUCAGUAUUAACCUUCAACGGGUUAAUGAGAACUAUGCAAGUAGUUCCUAGCCCGAUGAUGGCUCCAGUCUUCGUUCGCUAAUCCGAACGAAGCCUCAAACCGAUCUGCCUAAGGGUUGGAUUUGAGCACUUAGUUUAGGCUAGUCCUUUAUCUUGCCUUGAGUUAAAGGAUGAGAUUUAUGAAAAGGGUAGUCCCUUUAAAAUCCCGUUUACCGGAGAGUUUAGGGAUGAAGUUUAAAAGGUAUCCUACGCAUGUAGAGGCUUUUAUUCAAGCGCUUAAGGACGCGGGUUCAAUUCCCGCCACCUCCACCA